ACAACAGGGAUUGCCCAGUAACGGCGAGUGAAGCGGCAACAGCUCAAAUUUGAAAUCUGGCCCUUGGGUCCGAAUUGUAAUUUGCAGAGGAUGCUUUUGGCGCGGCGCCUUCCGAGUUUCCUGGAACGGAACGCCAUAGAGGGUGAGAGCCCCGUCCGGUUGGACGCCUAGCCUAUGUAAAGCUCCUUCGACGAGUCGAGUAGUUUGGGAAUGCUGCUCUAAAUGGGAGGUACAUGUCUUCUAAAGCUAAAUACCGGCCAGAGACCGAUAGCGCACAAGUAGAGUGAUCGAAAGAUGAAAAGCACUUUGAAAAGAGGGUUAAACAGUACGUGAAAUUGUUGAAAGGGAAGCGUUUAUGACCAGACUUGGGCCCGGUUAAUCAUCCAGCGUUCUCGCUGGUGCACUUUGCCGGCCCAGGCCAGCAUCAGUUCGUCGCGGGGGAUAAAGGCUUCGGGAACGUGGCUCCCUCGGGAGUGUUAUAGCCCGUUGCGCAAUACCCUGCGGUGGACUGAGGUUCGCGCAUCUGCAAGGAUGCUGGCGUAAUGGUCAUCAACGACCCGUCUUGAAACACGGACCAAGGAGUCGUCUUCGUAUGCGAGUGUUCGGGUGUCAAACCCCUACGCGUAAUGAAAGUGAACGCAGGUGAGAGCUUCGGCGCAUCAUCGACCGAUCCUGAUGUUCUCGGAUGGAUUUGAGUAAGAGCAUACGGGGCCGGACCCGAAAGAAGGUGAACUAUGCCUGUAUAGGGUGAAGCCAGAGGAAACUCUGGUGGAGGCUCGCAGCGGUUCUGACGUGCAAAUCGAUCGUCAAAUAUGGGCAUGGGGGCGAAAG
rnacentral:rRNA from 1 species